AAAGGCAAUCAAAAAGGUUUGGGGCUUGGGGACAUGACUUGUGCAGAAAGGCCAAGGGGACUGGGCUUAUUUAGUCUAGAGAAGAGGAGACUGAGGGGAUUUAACAGCAGCCUUCAACUAC